rnacentral:lncRNA from 1 species
AAGGAAGCUGUCAUAAAAAUGUGAACAUUCGUUUCAUGUCCCCGCCAUCUCCAGCUGCAAAGUGGAGCGGGGCUUAUUUUGCAACAGAAGCAAGCAUCAAGUCAAACAUUUCUGAGAAUGACCUGUUAAGCAGAAACAUGAAAAGGACCAGGACCAAGGUGGUAAGUAGCAGAGGCAAUGUGAAGCAGAGGGUAAAACCUAAGAGAUCUGUGAGUUGAGGAGCAUUCUCUGGAUUUACGAGUGGAAGCAUCACGUUAUCUGUGCCUCUUCUCCAUGGAUGCAGGACAUUGCAAUGACAACAGGCUGGAUCGUUCUUGGUUGCUUCUGUGAAAGAACAUACAUUUAGUCUGCUAGGGCUGCUGUAACAGAUCCCACAGACCGCGCAGCUUACGCAAUGUCUAUUUCUCACAGUUCCGGAGGCUGGAAGUCUCAGAUCGAGGUGUCGGCAGGGCUGGUUUCUCCUGAGGCCUCUCUCCUGGGCUCGUAGAUGGCCAUCUUCUCCCUGUGUCCUCACGUGGUUGUCCCUCCGUGUGUGUCUGUGUCCUCAUUUCCUCCUCUUAUAAGGACACCUGUCAUAUUGGAAGCCAC